rnacentral:rRNA from 1 species
UACGGAGGGUGCGAGCGUUGUCCGGAAUCACUGGGCGUAAAGGGCGCGUAGGCGGCGCGGAAAGUCAACGGUGAAAGCUCGGCGCUCAACGCCGAGUCGGCCGUCGAUACUCCCGUGCUCGAGCACUGUAGAGGCAGGUGGAAUUCCGGGUGUAGCGGUGGAAUGCGUAGAGAUCCGGAAGAACACCGGUGACGAAGGCGGCCUGCUGGGCAGUAGCUGACGCUGAGGCGCGACAGCGUGGGGAGCAAACAGG